rnacentral:rRNA from 1 species
CCCUUAGAUGUUCUGGGCCGCACGCGCGCUACACUGUUCGACGCAGCGAGUCUUAACCUUGACCGAAAGGUUUGGGUAAUCUUCAGCAAAGUCGAACGUGAUGGGGAUCGAUCAUUGCAAUUAUUGAUCGUGAACGAGGAAUUCCUAGUAAGUACAAGUCAUCAGCUUGCGCUGAUUACGUCCCUGCCCUUUGUACACACCGCCCGUCGCUACUACCGAUUGAAUGGUUUAGUGAGAUCUCUGGAUUGACGCUGGCUAGGGGGCGACCCUUGGCCAGACUGUUGAGAAACUGCUCAAACUUGAUCAUUUAGAGGAAGUAAAAGUCGUAACA